rnacentral:tRNA from 1 species
GGUAAAAUGGCNGAGUAAGCAUUAGACUGUAAAUCUAAAGACAGAGGUUUNAGCCCUCUUUUUACCA